GAAAAUAAUUUUAAAAAAAUAGGUGAAAAUUUGAAUCUUGCGGGUAUUUUUGAAAGAAAAAUUAGAAACUGGGGAUCAAAACAUAAUUUAAAAAAGUUGUGCCACGUAGGUUGCCCAGUCAGCAACCCAAACAAACCAGAACGCGUCGUGUGGCAACAGACACUGAGGUCACAUGGGCGAUACGCGCGUCUGCGAUCGAACAAUCCAAAUUCAUUCCCGCGCACAGGAACGACCCAGAUG
rnacentral:lncRNA from 1 species